CAAUACUGUAGUCUCACUCGCACUCAACUCGUCCUGCUACACUUUCAGUUAGCCUGUUGCCGCCUGCCCACAUUCACUGAAUACUGAGAUGAUAUAAAGUCUGGUUAUGUCUAGUUAUAGUGAGGCUAUAUCUGGAUAUUCCCAUUUCAACAACUGACAUUUUUGAACACCAGACAUGCACACAAUGUACGAUAUCACAGCAUUUUGCUUAUUACUUUCAACACUGGAUCCACCAUUUGUAUACAGAAAUGAUGUUUGUGUAUGAUGUGUUUCAUGCUGUAUGUAUUCUGUGCAUAGGCUGAGCUGGGUUAUCUGCAGCUUUAUGGAGUGCAGGAGAUUACGGGGAAGCUGGACAGAGAGACUGGGGGCAGUAAAGGGCCUUAAUUGCAUGCCAGCACACACACCAUCAGAUUUACUGCUCAGCUUAAAUCAGGGAAACAGCAGCACAGACUGGGAGAAAGGAAGUCGGCAUGAAAGAAACACCAUCUAAAGACCAGGAGCAUGGCCAGAAAGGGACGGUGAAAGAAAUAUCUAAUGAUAGCUGCUACAGAGCACUCAAGGCCCCUCCCAACAGUUUGAAUACACCUACACUACCUGCAACUGACCACCAUGCUCCUGCGUUGCAAAUUGGACAAACACAACAGAAAAGUGCUGAAAUACAGGGUGGACGAGAAUCAAAGAAGCCAAAGGAGAAAUAGGAACCCCGCUGAAACAUUUUCACUUCCACACACACAGAUAUUUACAUGUUGAGGUUGAAAUAACAGCUCCUUCCUCUCCCCUGUCCCCUGCAGUGAGCCAGAGGCAUCUGUUCCUCUAUGUAAAGGAGUCAUUAAUGGAGGAAAUGACUCAUUUAUGCUCAGAGCUAAUGGAGGAAACUCGACCAGCCAAUGUCCCACCACCCCCUCUAUCUCUUCCCACAUUCCUCUCUCUCUCUCACUCAGUCUCUCUCUCUCUCUCUCUCUAUCCAUAUGACAUCUGAGUGGACUGUUGCUUGUGUAGACCACUGGCAUACCCACAUUAUGCCUCAUUAGGACCAAUCUGGUGGGCUGCCAGGGCUUAUGGGUAAAUGUUCACUUUCCUCGUCUCGGGGUAAUUUCUUCACCCAGAUGCUGAUCAGAAGGAGUCUGAGAGGCCGGGAGGGAGAGAUCCAUUACACCGCUGGCUCAGGUCAAGGCACUUCCUGAAAUCUAACCAUGUGUCACACUGUAAACCUGUCUUUCUCUCACUACAGACUUUUGAGUUCUUGUUGGAGCUAACUUCGAAACAUAGUGGAUGGAGAGCCACAUGUUCCAUGUACUUGGCAGCAGCCAUGAUGGCCUGUGUAAUUAUUUUAAAAGCCCCUAAUAAGCAUGUAGGUUAUUCUAAACCUGAGAGUUUGUUUCCUUCAAAAUGCUGUGCUUUUUGCCCACACAUGACAGUAAUUGAUGUGCACAAUGAGCCCAGUAUAAUUUCUAACAGGGCAAUGCACCACUCAGACAUAUUCUUUCUGUGCCACUGAACUCUCCCACCUAAAGUAAUACAUCAGAGAUGACCCACUGCAUUUUGGUGAUGUUAGUCAUUACGAGCAGCAGAGUGGAAAUUCUGUGUCACAAAUGAGUGUAUUAGCUCUGAGAGAAAGAUGAUGUUAACUCUGUAUCGAUUAAAUGGGUUUCCAG
ensembl:lncRNA